AUACUACUCAGCCAUAAAAAAAGGCUCAAAGAUUCAAUGCAGAAGCAGACUUGAGAAUCAGCUAUCUUCUGAUCAGUCGCUCUGGGGGAAGCCAGCUACCACGUUGUGAACAGCCCUAGGGAAAUGUCCAUGUGGUAAGGAAUGGAGCCUCCCGCCAACCGCCAUGUCAGUGAGCCAUCUUGGAAGUGGAUUCUCCAGCCUCAGUCAAGCCUUCAGAUAAUGCAGUCCCAGCUGAGAUCCUGACUGUGACCACAUAAGAGACCUGAGCUAGAACCACUCGGGUUGGCCACACCCAAAUUCCAGAUCCUCAGAAUCUGUGAGAGAUAAUAAAAGUUGUUUUAAGUGGCUACGUCUUGGAGUAAUUUGGCCUUUCAAAAAUAGAUACCAAAAUACACAUCUAAACUGGGUUAGUUGCUUUUAGCACCAGGAAGAGAUAAGGAAAAAGAAGAGAGGACAAGAAGGGAUAAGGGCUCAUCUUUG
rnacentral:lncRNA from 10 species